rnacentral:rRNA from 1 species
AACGAACGCUGGCGGCAUGCCUAACACAUGCAAGUCGAACGAGACCUUCGGGUCUAGUGGCGCACGGGUGCGUAACGCGUGGGAACCUGCCCUUAGGUUCGGAAUAACUCCCCGAAAGGGGUGUUAAUACCGGAUAAUGUCUUCGGACCAAGGAUUUAUCGCCUUUGGAUGGGCCCGCGUUGGAUUAGCUAGUUGGUAGGGUAAAAGCCUACCAAGGCGACGAUCCAUAGCUGGUCUGAGAGGAUGAUCAGCCACACUGGGACUGAGACACGGCCCAGACUCCUACGGGAGGCAGCAGUGGGGAAUAUUGGACAAUGGGCGAAAGCCUGAUCCAGCAAUGCCGCGUGAGUGAUGAAGGCCUUAGGGUUGUAAAGCUCUUUUACCCGGGAUGAUAAUGACAGUACCGGGAGAAUAAGCUCCGGCUAACUCCGUG